rnacentral:rRNA from 1 species
CCUACGGGAGGCUGCAGUGGGGAAUAUUGCACAAUGGGCGCAAGCCUGAUGCAGCCAUGCCGCGUGUGUGAAGAAGGCCUUCGGGUUGUAAAGCACUUUCAGCGGGGAGGAAGGCGUUAAGGUUAAUAACCUUGGCGAUUGACGUUACCCGCAGAAGAAGCACCGGCUAACUCCGUGCCAGCAGCCGCGGUAAUACGGAGGGUGCAAGCGUUAAUCGGAAUUACUGGGCGUAAAGCGCACGCAGGCGGUCUGUCAAGUCGGAUGUGAAAUCCCCGGGCUCAACCUGGGAACUGCAUUCGAAACUGGCAGGCUAGAGUCUUGUAGAGGGGGGUAGAAUUCCAGGUGUAGCGGUGAUAUGCGUAGAGAUCUGGAGGAAUACCGGUGGCGAAGGCGGCCCCCUGGACAAAGACUGACGCUCAGGUGCGAAAGCGUGGGGAGCAAACAGGAUUAGAUACCCGAGUAGUC